CAGAGUCCAAGUAGGAAAAAGAAAAUCUGCAUAUUUGAAACAUGGGAAAUUUAUGAAGGGAUUAUUCGAACAGGAAAUGGAAAAGUUGAUACUCCAGUACAGCAUGGGGAGACAGCCCUGAGAUUGGAAGCUGUAGGAGGGCACCAGCAGCCUGGGGCUGGGAGAAAAAGGGAAGAGGAGGUGUUAUCAGAGCCCAAGGGCUGUGGUCAGCUGUAGAAACUGGAAUCAUGGAAGACCUAUUUGGAGGAAGCUGGAGCCAUUGAGGAGACUCAGCUGCUCUGAGAAAAACCAUCAAGCCAGAGGAGGAGGGUAAACGCCUUGCCUUAUCUCUCUCCUCCUGCCCUUUACUUUCUUUCCAAAGUCUUCCACUGGCCAAAAUAGCUGGAAGCCAGCUGUCACAGGAGACUGGAAAAGGCAGCCUGCAAGCAUGUCUCCCUCCCUCACCCCUACUCCAAGCUAUGGAACAGAGCAGGUUGUACUCGUUUUGCUAGUGAUCCUAUGAUCACAUCUUCAGCAAAAUAUGACACGGCAUUUGGAACUAAAACAGUGAGCGUCCAGGAAAUAUUGGACAUCUACAAACUGAAGAUCACUUUCCUUAAACUUUAUGAGAGUUUGGAUUAUUCAACGUUAUCAUAAAAUCAGCUAUUAAUAAGACGCACAAGGUUCCAGAAGCUUUUUUUUUUUUUUGUUAGGGGAAAGUGAAGAACAAUACUGAGCAAUUUAUUUUGGCAUCAACCCUGAUUGCAACUGUAAUAUAUGGUGCAUUUCCAUGAGUGCUCUGUGACUGUUGCAAUGAAUUAUCAAACCCAAUAGAGAAACAGAGCUAUGGUCGGAACGGCUGGUGUCAGAAAUGGUAGAGAAGUAAA